UUUUUCUGUGAAAAAAAUCCCUCCCGUUCCCCCGAAUUAGUCCUGCGUGAUCCCUUUUUCUGCGCCGUCCUGCGCGGGUUCCCCGCUGGCGGCUGGCCGCACCUUACCACCCCCGUCCGGCCGUCCUCCGCCCAGGUAGACAGGAAGAAGCGAGGAGGGUCGUAUCCGACUGCGGCACAUGGAGAGGUGGACUAGGGGGACGCAUCUCCCGGCGAGCACGGGAAUACUACUAUGAUUCAGACAGGGUGACGGGCCGCCGCCGGCGCCGCCUGAGUACAGAGCCUACAUCGCCCACGGUCGGCGGUCAGUUUCAUGCCCAUCGCCACCGGCGACCUCUCGGGAAACGGGCAGACGGCGAGAGUUUAGGACACCACUAAAACCUGGGCUUCUCCUUAUCCACAUCCGGGCGGUUGGCUCUGCUUCUUCUCCAGUAUGUCGCUGUCCAUUGAUUCCAUUAAUCCAUUCUCCCCUGUUCCGGCUUUUUAUCAUGAAUACGCAGAUUUAGAUUAGGUGAUGUGGUACUUUGAUCGUUUGAUGAUGAGUACUCUAAUUACUGUGAUUGUGCGAUCCUGAUACUGUAUUUUGUUUCCUGUAAGUUUAAUGUUUGAGACUUGGAGCUUUAUAGCUUAUUGUUGAUACUUGUUUGUGACCUGGAUUGCAAAUGUGUGUCUCGUAGCUUGCUGCUGCUGUUGGAGCACUGAACGCUUGGUCUUGGACAUCACAGCCACCCCACCAUUACCUUGGACGCUACUUCAAAUCCUGGCGGCACAAAAUUUUAGUGGAAACAUAAGGUAAAAAAUCUUGCAACCCGGAUGUGACGGUUUUAUUUGUUUAUUUUGUUAUCCCUUGAUUAGUGAACCUGAUACUUUUUCGGAUCAACUGAAAAUAAAUAUAAGAUUCUGUUAUCUAUUGGUUUGAUUCUAUUAUCACCAUAUUAGUUGAUGAGAAUCCUCUUAAACCACGUCUCCUUGUCAAGUGCUGGAACUUAUUUAUCACUCCCACUUCAGAACGGAACCUCGUUGCCAAGUGCCAACUGAUUCAUAGUAAAAUCCCCUCUGACACCCAAUAGAAUAGGUUGCUGUUGUUUUUUUGUUUCACCAAUGAGCUAUUUUAAAACAGGCAAAUAUCAAUGACAAAAUGAAUGCAAAAUAUGCCCUUAGACCGAUGUGGCAUGCAUGUAACAUAAUUAACUGCUCGACAAGAAUUGAGUCAAUUGAACAUCUAUAGACGACAUAGCGCCGUGGGGUCUACUAGGUCACCCAAUUACUGGUUCUUAAUUAUCUGUCCCGCUUGUGUUUCUGUCUAGCUUGUGCAGUUAUGCAUAUCUGUGCUCGAUCAUACAUGUUAUCUCUACCAUAAAGCACCAAGUUCACAUUAUAUUAUAAUUACCAUCCACAUAUGAUUUAGUUUUACUUCUUCUGAUUUGUAAUGAACUUCUACUUGAAUGCUUUACUAAAUCUUAUUUUUCAGGAAAUUUGCAAGCGGGGAUUAGAAGAAUUAUUUUGAACUGAAUGAAGAAUCUAUGCACCUUUUAGCGAACUUUUAUAUGCUUGCAUAGUUUUUGCUCUUCGACAAUGAACCUUGUAAAAUUUCAAAAAAUUCUUACUAAGUUAAUUAAGCUUCAUGUAUGACAGAUUUUCAUUGGGAAUAGAUACACUUUUUUCAAAGAAGUAUCAUGUCAGAUUUACCAUCUUGUAAAAUCAACUGUGAUGGGGCGUUCUCUGCACCUGAGGGCACUGGUGGUGGUGGCUGGGGCUUCGUCAUACACGACUUGCCGGGAGAUGUGAGAGGCUCUGGAGCGGGGCGCCUUCGACAUGUAGCAACACACCCCUUUAUUUUCUGAAACAUUGACGGGUGUGGCAACACACCCCUUUAUGUCCUAGUGUCUACUGUUAGGAAACUUCUUGCAAGUACUUUGGUUAGGUACUAGAAAGCAUGCGCGUGCACACACACACACACACAUGCCCACAGCAACAAGCACGCACAUACAACACAACACAGAUGCUCUGCUCCUGAUUUGUCAAUAGUAUGCUGAUGCUUUGCUUUGAUCUGCUCUAACACUAACUUUUUUGUCAAUAGUAAGGGAAGUCGAAGUUUCUGAUUGGUGAUGCUUUUGCUUCAGGAUACUUAAUUUCCUCGCAUUGACCUUUUGUAAGUUAAAAUCUUUUUUUCCAUAUUCCAAAAUUAUGUUGGUGUACACUUAAUCACAUAAUCGUAAGGUCCAAAUUUCAUUUACAGAUUCAAAAGAAGGAUAAUCGAGUUGCAGCUGAAUUCUCCGGUUGGAUCAAGAAGCAAAUACAAUUAGAAAAUUUUACUUAGAAAUAACCGUAGUUUACAUUGAUAGAUGGAAACAAUGUAAUAUCAUGCAGAAGUUGUUUUUUAUUUGUUUGAAUUGUGCAAAUGCUAUGGUGUAAUAUUCUCCAUAGACAUGUUCACUGUAGUCAAAAUAUAUGAAUGAUAUUUUGCGGUACCAGUAAUAUUGGUAUUUGUUUAUUGUAAUGCAUAUGUAUCCUACAUUGUUGUAUAUUCAUAUUAAAUAUCUUGAUAUUUUCAAUUUGUGUAUGUGUCG
rnacentral:lncRNA from 1 species